UGGGGAAUAUUGCACAAUGGGCGCAAGCCUGAUGCAGCCAUGCCGCGUGUGUGAAGAAGGCCUUCGGGUUGUAAAGCACUUUCAGCGAGGAGGAAGGUGGUGAGCUUAAUACGCUCAUCAAUUGACGUUACUCGCAGAAGAAGCACCGGCUAACUCCGUGCCAGCGGCCGCGGUAAUACGGAGGGUGCAAGCGUUAAUCGGAAUUACUGGGCGUAAAGCGCACGCAGGCGGUUUGUUAAGUCAGAUGUGAAAUCCCCGGGCUCAACCUGGGAACUGCAUUGAAACUGGCAAGCUAGAGUCUCGUAGAGGGGGUAGAAUUCCAGGUGUAGCGGUGAAAUGCGUAGAGAUCUGGAGGAAUACCGGUGGCGAAGGCGGCCCCCUGGACGAAGACUGACGCUCAGGUGCGAAAGCGUGGGGAGCAAACAGGAUUAGAUACCCUGGUAGUCCACGCUGUAAACGAUGUCGAUUUUGGAGGUUGUGCCCCUUGAGGCGUGGCUUCCGGAGCUAACGCGUUAAAUCGACCGCCUGGGGAGUACGGCCGCAAGGUUAAAACUUAAAGGAAUUGAC
rnacentral:rRNA from 1 species